rnacentral:rRNA from 1 species
CGAGAUGAGUAUUCCCACCUCCUUGAGGGGUUAAGGCUCCCAGUAGACGACUGGGUUGAUAGGCCAGAUGUGGAAGCCCUGUGAGGGGUGGAGCUGACUGGUACUAAUAGGCCGAGGGCUUGUCCUCAGUUG